UACGGAGGAUCCGAGCGUUAUCCGGAUUUAUUGGGUUUAAAGGGUGCGCAGGCGGGAGAUUAAGUCGGCGGUGAAAUUUUGCAGCUCAACUGUAAAAGUGCCUUCGAAACUGGUUUCCUUGAGUGUAGAUGAAGUAGGCGGAAUUUGCGGUGUAGCGGUGAAAUGCAUAGAUAUCACGAGGAACUCCGAUUGCGCAGGCAGCUUACUAAACUACUACUGACGCUCAGGCACGAAGGCGUGGGGAUCAAACAGGAUUAGAUACCCCCGUAGUCCCU
rnacentral:rRNA from 1 species